GUGCCAGAUCCUACGGGAGGCAGCAGUGGGGAAUAUUGCACAAUGGGGGAAACCCUGAUGCAGCGACGCCGCGUGAGCGAAGAAGUACCUCGGUAUGUAAAGCUCUAUCAGCAGGGAAGAAGAUGACGGUACCUGACCAAGAAGCUCCGGCUAAAUACGUGCCAGCAGCCGCGGUAAUACGUAUGGAGCAAGCGUUAUCCGGAUUUACUGGGUGUAAAGGGAGCGCAGGCGGCCUUGCAAGUCUGAUGUGAAAGGCCGGGGCCCAACCCCGGGACUGCUCUUGGAACUGCGCGGCUGGAGUGCAGGAGGGGCAGGCGGAAUUCCUGGUGUAGCGGUGAAAUGCGUAGAUAUCAGGAGGAACACCGGUGGCGAAGGCGGCCUGCUGGACUGCGACUGACGUUGAGGCCCGAAAGCGUGGGGAGCAAACAGGAUUAGUUACCCCUGUAAA
rnacentral:rRNA from 1 species